CGCGUUCUUCACGCUCAUCCCGCUCGACAUUUCAGGUAUGUGUUUUAACAUAAGUGUUCCUACUAAUCAUCGAAAGUGGAUUCUACGGCAGUAAGUGGUCAGUGCACAUUAGCAGCGUACUGACGGAAGUAUGCAGAAUGAGACAUAGCCUCGGACACUUAACCCUUGUGUUGUCUUCCCGGCUAAAAUUCUGAAAAAAAAAUUCACCCUUUAUCAGAUGUUUUUUUUCAAGGGUUUUGAAUCUUUUUUCAAGAUUUUUGUCACCUUUUUGUAACGGUUUCUGCAUUCUUUUUCCACUACCACCUGAUUCACCACUAACAUCUACUUAUUAAAUAGUUACGUUUGAAUGGAUAAUCACAGACUGUCAAAGUUUAGUCAGGAUACUGUUUAGAAACCAUUUCAUUUUUUUUCUUCUUUUUUUCAAAUGCUAUAAAAUUGACUAUGACACCCAAAAUUCAAUGAAAGUAGUGAACUGAUCCUUAGUUUUACCUGCGAAGAGCGUCGUAUGGAACCAUCCCUGUUAUUUUCGGCCAAUUUGCUUGAAAGAAACCCCAAAUUUCUGAUGUAGAAACUUUGGAAACUGGUCAAAUUUGACCCGAGGACAACAAGAGGACUAAAAGAUAU